rnacentral:tRNA from 1 species
GGGCCGGUAGUUCAGAGGUAGAAUGCCCGCUUGGCAUGCGGGAGGUCGCGGGUUCGAGUCCCGCCCGGUCCA